ACAACACUUGGGGUCAGCACAUUUGUCUCAACACUUGGCUAAAAUAUGUUUUUGCAAAAUGUAGCCAACUUACAAAAACCCAACACUCUCCAUCUAAUUUGAUUAUCAGAUUUGUAACUCAUUAUAAACAGUCAUCUAUGGGUGUAUAACAGUCACCUAUGGGUGUCAAAACUCUCAUAAUGGAUACUUUCUUCAAUCUUUGGUGAAAAUUAGAUUUUGAAUUGUAUAAUUAAUUCUUGUUUUAGCACUAAACGGAACUUGAUACUAAUCAUUCUCCAUCACAGUCAUUGACUUAUGUCUCGCCACGAUCCACGACAUAAAUGGUGAUUCAGGUUAGUCUAUAGGCAGGGUUGUUCAUAGAAGUUUUUAGAACAAAAAUAAAUCAUAAAUUGAACUGAUUUGUCAUUAAAAUAUUGAACUGGUAGUGAUACCCUGUACUAAACUGUUAUGAUAUGAUAAACUGAUAUUGAUGCUUGGUACUGAUUUACAUUGUUUUUUAUUUUGAAUAGGAUCAUUUCAAAAAAGUUGCAUCAGGCAUCACAAGGUGCAAAUGAGAGUGGCUCCCAAAUAUCCUUCACUGAGCAUACCAUAUGGAUGGUAUAUUUUUCCUUCUGCAUCGUCUGUUUCAGUAAUCUUUCCCUUGGUGAUUCUGGUUAGUCUAUAGGUAGGGUUGUUCAUAGAAGUGUUUAGAACCAAACUUAGCCAUAAACUGAACUGAUUUGCCAUUAAAUUAUUGAACUAAUAUUGAUGCCUUGUACUGAACUAUUAUGAUAGUUUUGCUCUGAACUGUGAUGUUGUGAUAAAAUAUUGUUUCUAUGUUCUGAGUAUAUUCUCAAUUGAUAUGUUAUGAAUGUUGUACCCUGUACUUAACUGUUAUGUUAUGAUAGUUGUUGCUAUGUUAUGGUGUCUAAAUUCCACAGACAGUGGUCUUUCUUCUAAAAACUAAAGUUUGACACCAAACACAGAGUGCUAGCGCUAUUUUCUUACUAUGUAAUAAGUGUUUGGCACAAAACUAAUGUAAGGAAAAUUAAAGCUUUUUUUUUAUAAGCGGAAAAUUAAAGCAUUGAUUCUUUGACUAUUUAUAAGGAUACAAUUAUCAGCAACUUAUGAAAGUAAAAAAAAAAAAUUGACCUUACCCACGGUAAUACAGUAGGUAAUACCAGUUUGAAUAUAUAUAUGCUACUCAUGGUAAUGCCGUGGAUACAUGCUACUAAAGGUAAUGCCGUGGGUAAUUAUUCAUGGCAAAAUCCUGGGUAAUAACGUGGGAAAGGCCGUGGGUAACGUACCCACGGCAUUUUCUUCGGUAAUGAGUUACCAACGAGGCCAUAUGCCACGGACCUAUGCCGUGGGUAAUCCGUGGGUAAAUAUCAUUUACUCAAGGUGUAGCCG
rnacentral:lncRNA from 1 species